UUAUAUUUUAAUUCGAAUGAAUCUAUGUAAAUAAAUAGUCUAAACUUUUUAUAUAGUCUUCUUUAGAAAUGGAUGUUAAUACGAAGUUAUUAUAAGUUAGUAACUGUAAUGUUAACACCACUUAAACUCAACCAAUACAUGUACUCAUUAUUUGAACAUAAAUCAAUCUCAAACAUUAGUUGCGGUUAAGUAUAUAAGGAAGUCGAUUUUGUUUUCUAAAUUGAAAAAUGAAGUUGAUUGCACCUCUUCUGUUAUUGUCAAUAUUCCUUAUAUCGGAAACAUUAUCCCGGGAUGUGUUUGACACCUCACUGGAUGAUGAUACAAAUGUUUACAAUAACGUGAACAUAUUGAACGCUUUGCGUCAAAAAAAACGGCUGUUUGAGAAAUUGUUUAAAAGACCGAAGACAAAGCCAAAAGAACAGGAUGUAGAUACAUUUAAUUGGACAAUCAUAAGAGCGAUACUGCCGAAGUUAAAGAACUUGCCGUGGGACUGGAUUCUGAAUAUGAUAAGACGGGCGAUCAGUAAUCGUGACAGUGAAUAUUGAUGGAAAUAUAAUAUUUGAAGUUA